ACGUAUUUUACUAUUUAUUUAGAUUUUGUUAGAAUUAUCUCCCCUGUUGCGCUCUUCUGUAGAGAAGGUAGAUAUUGAUUAUGUUUACGAAGUUAUCUAAUCGUUUUAGGCAUAAAUUAUAAGUGAUUUGAAGAAAAUUGUCCUUUCCUGUGAAUAUAAUUUGUUACGUAUAUACUAGUGGCCUAUGUAAAAAUUACAUAAAAAAUUAUGAAAUGCAUCGGGAUCGAUAUACGGUUCCGUAACCCAUGUUAAACAUUAUGGUAUACUGCGACGUUUUGUAGUUAAGUACGUCCUCAGAAAAAGAUUCAGGUGCGUGAAUUGUCAACGAGUCUUCAGAUUCUGACUCUUAUUUUGAUGAAUACGAUUCUGACAGCGAACAUUCAUUUGGUAGCGAGACGGAUGUAGUGAUGAUGGUCCCGUGAUGAUGAUACCGAAUCAACAAUGUUUGAAUUUGAAAAAGAAACAGAUUAUUCAAAUUCAUUUCCCUGGUUAGGGCUGGGCUUUACAAUGGGAUAUUCAGCUAUGGAGCUAUAAAGAAUUACAACAUAGGGUUUCCAAUGUAGUUUUGUGAACAGAAUCCAGAAAUAAGAAGAGGAGAGACAAUGUAGCAUAAGCAUUAACAAUUACUUGCCACUGCUGAGAAAAUGGUACAUGCUUUGAGUACUACUUUUGUGUAUUUGGAGACAGUCCAGUUCUUCUUUAAAGCAGGAGUGGAAAUUUCAGUGCUUGUUCAAUUUCUCCAGAAGGUAUUGGAUGCUCCAUAGGAAGAAAAUGGGGUCAUACUGAACAGAAUAGUUUGGAUACACCUUAUAGAUUUUAAAAGCUUGAGACCUCAAGAUCAACCCUAAUGGUGUACCAAACAUGAAGAAAAAAAGACAGUUUAUGAUUGAAGAAGUGUAGUAGCCAAAAUUUCAGGGUAUUUCAUAUAUGUUAACUUAUAAGAUUUUAUUGGUACAUGUACUUAAACAUUGUUAACAUCUUGAUAUUUAAUAUGUAUCAGGUUUCACUUGCAGGAAUACACAAAAAUUCAGAGUAAAUUUUAGGUGUUUGUUAUGUUAGAAAAGAUCAAAGUUCAAGGUCAGCAGUGCUUUAGUUUUACCAAAUAUAACACUAUUAUUAAGACUAAUUUCCUGUAUGCAGGUAAAGCAAAUAAUUCAGAAUAUGAUUUGGGAAACUGUGAUUUUUUCUUUUAAAUCUUAUCUUAAUUUAGAACCAUGAUGUAUGCUUAAGCAAGUAGAUUUUUUUCAAGCAUACAAAAUUUCAAGGUCAUUUUAAUUUUGGAAGUGAAUAUAAAAUAUCAGGAAGCAGUCAAGCAUUGUAAUUUUUUG